rnacentral:rRNA from 1 species
UGGGGAAUAUUGGACAAUGGGCGCAAGCCUGAUCCAGCCAUGCCGCGUGUGUGAUGAAGGCCUUAGGGUUGUAAAGCACUUUUGUCCGGGAAGAUAAUGACUGUACCGGAAGAAUAAGCCCCGGCUAACUUCGUGCCAGCAGCCGCGGUAAUACGAAGGGGGCUAGCGUUGCUCGGAAUCACUGGGCGUAAAGGGCGCGUAGGCGGACUUUUAAGUCGGGGGUGAAAGCCCAGGGCUCAACCCUGGAAUUGCCUUCGAUACUGAGAGUCUUGAGUUCGGAAGAGGUUGGUGGAACUGCGAGUGUAGAGGUGAAAUUCGUAGAUAUUCGCAAGAACACCAGUGGCGAAGGCGGCCAACUGGUCCGAUACUGACGCUGAGGCGCGAAAGCGUGGGGAGCAAACAG